rnacentral:misc_RNA from 1 species
UUUCCGUAGGUGAACCUGCGGAAGGAUCAUUAUUGUAUAACCGAGGUGCGAGUGCUGUCGCUGACCCGAAAGGUCGUGCACGCCCGAGUGCCCUCACACACAUCCAUCUCACCCCUAUGUGCACCACCGCGUGGGUCCCCCUUUGGCUCGUUCGGAGGGGGGCUUACGUUUUCACACAAACUUUGUAUGCAGUGUAGAAUGUAUUUUUUGUUUUUGCGAUCACGCAAUCAAUACAACUUUCAACAACGGAUCUCUUGGCUCUC